rnacentral:rRNA from 1 species
AGUCUAGGAUACCACUUGGAAACAGGUGCUAAUACCGGAUAAGAAAGCAGAUCGCAUGAUCAGCUUUUAAAAGGCGGCGUAAGCUGUCGCUAUGGGAUGGCCCCGCGGUGCAUUAGCUAGUUGGUAAGGUAAAGGCUUACCAAGGCGAUGAUGCAUAGCCGAGUUGAGAGACUGAUCGGCCACAUUGGGACUGAGACACGGCCCAAACUCCUACGGGAGGCAGCAGUAGGGAAUCUUCCACAAUGGACGCAAGUCUGAUGGAGCAACGCCGCGUGAGUGAAGAAGGUUUUCGGAUCGUAAAGCUCUGUUGUUGGUGAAGAAGGAUAGAGGUAGUAACUGGCCUUUAUUUGACGGUAAUCAACCAGAAAGUCACGGCUAACUACGUGCCAGCAGCCGCGGUAAUACGUAGGUGGCAAGCGUUGUCCGGAUUUAUUGGGCGUAAAGCGAGCGCAGGCGGAAGAAUAAGUCUGAUGUGAAAGCCCUCGGCUUAACCGAGGAACUGCAUCGGAAACUGUUUUUCUUGAGUGCAGAAAAGGAGAGUGGAACUCCAUGUGUAGCGGUGGAAUGCGUAGAUAUAUGGAAGAACACCAGUGGCGAAGGCGGCUCUCUGGUCUGCAACUGACGCUGAGGCUCGAAAGCAUGGGUAGCGAACAGGAUUAGAUACCCUGGUAGUCCAUGCCGUAAACGAUGAGUGCUAA